rnacentral:rRNA from 1 species
GGCAGCAGUGGGGAAUAUUGCACAAUGGGCGAAAGCCUGAUGCAGCGACGCCGCGUGAGGGAUGACGGCCUUCGGGUUGUAAACCUCUUUCAGCAGGGACGAAGCGCAAGUGACGGUACCUGCAGAAGAAGCACCGGCUAACUACGUGCCAGCAGCCGCG